AGUGCGUCCAAACGUGCAAAAGAAACUCACCACUUCGCUCUUGCUCGCGCUGUCAAGCUGCCCGCCAAGCGCGUCGCUUGUGAAGAGAGGGAGAGAAAGGAAAAAUCUAAGCAGCUCGGGGGUCGAGGCAUCGUGCACAACCACGGCUCGGCCAAUGCUCUCUCGCCUGGUCCGGCGGACGGAUCGUCCCGUGACGGCCGGCAGGAAAAGUCCGUAACCUUGAAAUCAAAACCGCGUGGGUGACCAGCGGCUGUCGCGGAACAACUUGGCGUCUACGAUCCGCAGCCAAGCCCGCGGGGCAACGAAACCGGCAGCCAACAACACCGGAUUGGACGUCGCGCAAAAUAACGGGACUGCGGACCGGAGGAGGAAACACCCCCAGCACGAACGGGGGUGUUUUUGACGAGGGCGAACUCAUCCCAGUCGGUUUGGAUAUCGGGCCGCUUGCGAAAGCCCGACAAUGGUCCGACAUCGGGUCGACACGUGCAGUUUGGAGGCGGAUGGUUCGGGGAACGAUUCGGGCUGGCCCGUGCGGACCAGGGAUUUGACAUGCAUGCAGUUUCCUGAAGUCCCCUCGUAACGUAUCCGUGGUGCGGACCGGUUAAACCGGUCAGAGACAGCGAAAGCUGCUGGAGUCGGCGUGUGACUGCGCGGCACGAUCGGGGACCACGGAUACCUGGUGGUCGCCGGCGGAGAAUGCGGAAGAGGACGCGGAGGCAGCCGCGGAGCGGCGCACGUGGAGGAUGCUGUAGCGGGCGAGCGUGAGUAGCGAGGGUGAGAGGAAGAGCGUGAAGAAGAGCGCUAAGAAGAGCGCGAAGAAGAGCGCAAAGAAAAGCCCAAGGAAGAGCGCAGAGAAGAGGGCAACAAGAAGAAGAACAGUUGUGGGUAGAAAUUUUGGGUUGAAUAGAUGUUCUUGCUCAAAA